rfam:Candidatus Yonathbacteria bacterium RIFCSPLOWO2_01_FTLL_43_27 rifcsplowo2_01_scaffold_1785, whole genome shotgun sequence.
UUACAGGAAAUUAAGAGCAUAUGGUGGAUGCCUUGGUUCUCAGAGGCGACGAAAGACGUGGUAUGGCUGCGAUAAGCUUCGGGGAGGUGCCUAGCGACCUUUGAUCCGGAGAUCUCUGAAUGAGGAAACUCAUUGACUUUUAUAGGUCAAUACCUUACUUAGUAAGGUGCAUACCCAGGGAAGUGAAACAUCUCAGUACCUGGUGGAAAAUAAAAAAAGCUGCCGAAUGGCAGAACAUUUCCUGAGUAGCGGCGAGCGAAACGGAAAGAGCCCAAACCCCCACCACUGUUGACGCAAUAUUGAAAAAUAUUGUUUCAAGAGUGGUGGGGGGGUUGUAAGGCAAGAGCGUCGUAUUUAUACGAGAAAAGUUACAAAAUGUUUUGUUAGCUGAAGUUGCUGGAAAGCAACGCCCUAGACGGUGAUAGCCCGGUAAGCGAAAACUAAACAUCUUUUUUGCUCUUGUUCUUGAGUACUUCGAGACAUGAAUAGCUCGGGGGAAUCCAGGAGUACUAACUCCUAAGGCUAAAUACUCUGAGAAACCGAUAGUGAACUAGUACCGUGAGGGAAAGGUGAAAAGAACCCCGGCGAGGGGAGUGAAAUAGAACUGAAACCAUAUGCUUACAAGGAGUCGGAGCCCUUUCGGGGGUGACGGCGUGCCUAUUGAAGAAUGAGCCAACGAGUUCAUAUAUAUUGCGUGGCUAAGCCCUUUUCGGGCGGAGCCGUAGGGAAACCGAGUGUGAAUAGCGCGUUUGUAGUAUGUAUGAGACCCGAAGCCAGAUGAGCUUGCCAUGAGCAGGGUGAACUCUUGAGAAAUUAAGAGGGAGGCCCGAACCGGUUGGCCGUGCGACACCAUCGGAUGACUUGUGGUAAGGAGUGAAAAGCUAAUCGAAUCUGGUAAUAGCUGGUUCUCUCCGAAAUAGUUUUUGGACUAGCGUCUUGUGUACCCUCUGGGGGUAGAGCACUGGAAGGAUUGGACAGGGAGAAAUCUCGCUAAUCCUAUCAAACUCCGAAUACCAGAGAUUAAUUACAAGGCAGUAAGACUGCGGGGGCGAAGCUCCGUCGGUCAAAAGGGAAAAAGCCCAGAUCUCAAGUUAAGGUCCCUAAAUCUAUGCUAAGUGCACUUAAGGAGGUGGAGUUUCAUUGACAGUGAGGAUGUUGGCUUAGAAGCAGCCAUCAUUUAAAGAAAGCGUAACAGCUCACUCACUAAGAGAUUCUGCGCCGCAGAUAAUCGGGGCUAAGCAUAGUACCGAAACUGAGGGUUUUAUCGUCUUUCGAGAUGGUAAAGCGGUAGGAGAGCGUUCUUGUCUGCACUGAAGGGGAAGCGUGAGCAACCCUGGAGCGUCAAGAAGUGAGAAUGUUGGCACAAGUAACCACAAUGCGGGUGAGAUCCCCGCACGCCGUAAGACUAAGGUUUCCUUGGCGAUGAUAAUCAGCCAAGGGUUAGUCGGGCCUAAGGUGAUGGCGAAAGCCGGAACCGAUGGACACAGGGUUAAUAUUCCCUGACUUCUUUUUUGUGCGAUGGAGUGACGAAGAUUUGUAUGUUUCGCGCAUUAUUGGAUUUGCGUUUGUGGUAUGAGGGUGAUUCUCAGGUAAAUCCGGGAAUCUGGGUUUAAUCCCACUCCAAGUACAGCAGAAAUCGCGAGGUUCGCCUCGCGGGAUGAGACAGAGCAGUCUUCCGAGAAAAGCUUCUCAGCAUAACAAAAAAGAAACCGUACCGUAAACCGACACAGGUAGUCGAGUCGAGUAGACUAAGGCGAACGAGUGAUUGUUUCUCAAGGAACUCGGCAAAAAAGCAGCCGUAACUUCGGGAUAAGGCUUGCCUUUCCUCAGCAAUGAGGAGGGGCCGCAGCGAAAGAUUUCCUGGCAACUGUUUACCAAAAACACAGCUCCAUGCUAAUUCGUAAGAAGAUGUAUAUGGGGUGACGCCUGACCAAUGCCAGAAGGUCAAACAGUGGCGGUAUGCGCAUCACACAGGGUACGAUAAUUAUUAUCGCGCGUUGUGUGAUGCGUAUGCAGACCGUUGUAAGCCCUGGUGAAUGUCGGCAAUAACUAUAAUUGUCCUAAGGUUUCGGCACUGACUAUAUGUUGGUGCCGAAAGGAUUGGGACGAUUAUAGGGUGAGUGGUAAGCAAGUUAAAUAUAUUACACAUUGAAAUGCUACCUACAAUACAGCGAUGUAUUGUUGAUCCAAUCAUGGCUAACGAGAGACCAACGCCAUGCAUCCCAACUCUAUAUAGAGCGGAUGAAGAUAGAGUCCUUCUGUGAGGAAUAGAAGAGCGUAAUUCCUUGUCUGGUAAGUUCAGACGUGCACGAAUGGCGUAAUGACUGGGAAACUGUCUCGAGAAACAGCUCGGUGAAAAUACAAUACCGGUGAAGAUGCCGGUUACCUGCAGUUAGACGAAAAGACCCCAGAAGCUUUACUAUAGCUUGAUAUUGAGUAUGUUCUGUACCUGCGUAGCAUAGGUGGGAGGAUUUGAAGCAGCCUUUUCGGGGGCUGUGGAUCCGUCAGUGAAAUACCACUCUUGUUCGGGGCAUAUUCUAAUCUGUACGGAAAAAACGUGCGGUGACAGUAUCUGGUAGGUAGUUUGAGUGGGGCGCUCUCCUCCUAAAAAGUAACGGAGGAGUCUAUUAAGGUCCUCUAGGCGCGAAUGGAAACCGUGCCGAUAGCGUAAUGGCAAAAGAGGGCUUGACUGUAAGACGUACGAGUCGAGCAGGUGCGAAAGCAGAGCAUAGUGAACCGACAACACGCUUUAGACGCGGUUGAAGAUUAACGGAUAAAAGCUACUCUGGGGAUAACAGGCUAGUUCCGCCCAAGAGUUCAUAUCGACGGCGGAGUUCGGCACCUUAACAUAAUCGGGGUGCGUCAGGAGUAAUCCUGUAGCAACAAAUUUAUAAUCGUCAUUAAAUAAUAUAUAAAAGAAAUCUUGGCUUAUAACGGUGAAGCCCUUAUACAUGAACAAUAUAGGGGUAAUACCGUGGGAAGUUUGCAUUCAAGAAAGCGAUCACUUCAUAAUUUUAUGAAGAGCUACGCUGUAUUUUAAAAUACAGGAUUGAGUGUAUAACCCCGUAGAGACUUGUCAUCUGAGAGUGCAUAGUAUGCACAAUCACUAUAUGACAGAGUUAUGAGAAGAUCAUAGCUAAUACGCCAACGCCUCUUUGAUCGAGAGGGUGAAGAAUAGUCCGAUCCUCGCAGUAAUGCGAGACAAAUACGACAGCGAUGUCGGCUCAACUUAUCCUGGAGGUGGAGAAGCUUCCAAGGGUUUGGCUGUUCGCCAAUUAAAAAGUUACGCGAGCUGGGUUCAAACCGUCGUGAGACAGGUUGGUCUCCUAUCUACUGCAGGCGUUGAUUUUUGAGGGGAUUUGCUCCUAGUACGAGAGGACCGGAGUGAACUGACCUCUGGUGUGGCUGUUGUCCUGCCAAGGGCACCGCAGCAUAGCUAUGUCGGGAAUGGAUAACCUCUGAAAGCAUCUAAGAGGGAAGCCAACCCNNNNNNNNNNNNNNAAAGCAUCUAAGAGGGAAGCCAACCCCAAGAUCAGAAAUCGUUUGAGGCCCGUAAGAGAUUAUUACGUUGAUAGGCUCUAGGUGUACGGCGCGUAAGCGCUUUAGCCGAGGAGUACUAAUACGCCGAUUCCUGUUGGG